AUGAGAACAGAAAUCGUGCUCCGGCAGUGUGGCAGCAGCAGGAGGCCCCAUUAGCUAAAGCGGUACCUCAGGUUAAGAACAGUUUCAGGUUAAGAACGGACCUCCGGAACGAAUUAAGUACUUAACCCAAGGUACCACUGUAUUCUUUCUUUGUAGCUCUGACUCCUGCACGUAGUUUCUCUUCCAGAAAAUAAGGUAGUUCCCUCCCCAGAUGCCAAUUUCCAACAAGGGCGGCUUAAGCCGGUUUUCUUUUUAAACCAUUUCGUAAUGUGAACAUAAAGCCUAAAUUGGAUUUAUCAUCCCACUUGCUCUCCUGCGUUGACCAAAUCUGGCACCUGCGAUGCACUUAGCACAGGAGAAGGAUCAAAGGUGGGCUUCAAGGCUGUGCCUGGAUUCCCUUCCGACGAAUUUUGCGCCAUGCUUUCCGCCUUGCUGUGAUUCCUUGACCAGCAGGGAGAUUCCAGCUUCCAGUAACACAUCCCAAGGCAAGUGAGCCCUCUUGUUGCUUUCCUGGGCCUAGGGGACCCUUGACCAGUAGUUAGGUGACCUUUCUCACUUGGCUGUCCACAAACAGGAGUGUCGUGAAAAGAAAAAGAGAAGGAGGUGUCCCAUCAAGGAAGACACGCCGGGAGUGUUGCUGCCGCCAGGGCUCCCGCUCUUUGGUGUGCCAGAAGCGUGCGAGAGAUUUGCCGCUGCAAAUUCAACUGGUGGGGAAUCAGAUCUACGAGGGAGGAAUUAAGAGCAUCAAACGAGAUGGUCCUGAACAGGGCGAUGGGCUGUUGGGAUAGGAUAUGGCGAUUUAGGGGCAUAGGGCAAGGAAAAGGGGAGGGUAGCGAGAGGGGUGUCAGAGGCCAUGCUUCACCAGCUGCCAGGCCAGCAAAUCCCCCACAUUCUCCCUCCCCCGUGGGGAGGGAGGGAAGGGAGUGAGAAGGGAAUCUCCGGGCAUUAAGCACCGUGGCUCCGACUAAGCCGCUGUCCUCGGCUCUGGUGCGGCAGGUGCCGCAGGGAUCUCAGCCAGGCCUCCCCCAACCCCAGCAGAAGCCCCUUCAGGCAUCAUGUUCGCCAGCUCUUCGCGGGG